GCUUGGGUAGCUCAGCUGGUAGAGCGGCUGUCUGAAGAACAGCAGGUCCCCAGUUCGACCCUGGGCCCAAGCA
rnacentral:tRNA from 1 species